rnacentral:lncRNA from 1 species
CGAAGUGUUAUUAGCCGAAUCCGAAUGGGUAACCUAAAAAACCGAAAAAUACAAAAAAUAUUUGAAACAUAAAUAUGUACUUAAAAUAUUCAAUUAUAUAUUUAUUUUGAAAUGAUAUCUAAAAAUAAAUAUUUAAAUUUUAAUUAAAUACCUUAAAUUCCCAAUUCUAUAUAAAAAGUAUUUUUUUUUUAUGUUUUGCUUUUAAAUUUUGGAUUUAACUUUAG